rnacentral:rRNA from 1 species
AUUGAACGCUGGCGGAAUGCUUUACACAUGCAAGUCGAACGGCAGCACGGGGCAACCUGGUGGCGAGUGGCGAACGGGUGAGUAAUAUAUCGGAACGUGCCCAAUCGUGGGGGAUAACGUAGCGAAAGUUACGCUAAUACCGCAUACGAUCUACGGAUGAAAGCGGGGGAUCGCAAGACCUCGCGCGAAUGGAGCGGCCGAUAUCAGAUUAGGUAGUUGGUGGGGUAAAGGCUCACCAAGCCAACGAUCUGUAGCUGGUCUGAGAGGACGACCAGCCACACUGGAACUGAGACACGGUCCAGACUCCUACGGGAGGCAGCAGUGGGGAAUUUUGGACAAUGGGCGCAAGCCUGAUCCAGCCAUUCCGCGUGCAGGAUGAAGGCCUUCGGGUUGUAAACUGCUUUUGUACGGAACGAAACGGUCUGCCCUAAUACGGCAGGCUAAUGACGGUACCGUAAGAAUAAGCACCGGCUAACUACGUGCCAGCAGCCGCGGUAAAGCUAACG